rnacentral:pre_miRNA from 1 species
GUUAUACUCCCUCUGUCUGAAAAAGCUUGUCCCUCAAAUGGAUGUAUCUUACACCAAAUUAGUGCUAGAUGCAUCCAUUUAAGGGACAAGCUUUUUCGGAUGCAGGGAGUAGUCA